AUCUAUAUAAUAUAUAAAGUAUAAUUGAGUUCCAAUCAAAAAGUCUAAAAUUUAGUAUAGAUA
rnacentral:tRNA from 1 species